UACGUAGGGGGCGAGCGUUAUCCGGAUUCACUGGGUGUAAAGGGAGCGUAGACGGCUGGGCAAGCCUGAUGUGAAAGGCGGGGGCGCAACCCUCGGACUGCAUUGGGAACUGUCCGGCUGGAGCGCCGGAGGGGUAAGCGGAAUUCCUGGUGUAGCGGUGAAAUGCGUAGAUAUCAGGAGGAACACCGGUGGCGAAGGCGGCUUACUGGACGGCGUCUGACGUUGAGGCUCGAAAGCGUGGGGAGCGAACAGG
rnacentral:rRNA from 1 species